rnacentral:lncRNA from 1 species
UUCUGCAUAGCCCAGAUUUUAACCUUCUCCUUCAAAGCUUCAUCCUGUGUAUCGAGCGUGAAAUGUUGAAGGAUAUCUUGCCAAAUCAAUUCCUUGUCACGAUCUGAGACAAAACUAAUAUUAGGGUUAUCUUUCCGUUGCCUCCAUUCACGAGCACUGACCGGGAGCCUGUCCCUUACAAGGUAGCCACAGUGCGCAAUAAAUUUUUUAGAAUUAGCUCCAAGUACUUGUCCUGUACCCUCAUCGAAUUCCG